GUUGGGCAUGGUUGUGCACGCCUGUAAUCCCAGCUACUGGGGAGCUGAGGCAGGAGGAUGGCAAGUCUGAGGCCAUCUGGGGUAACUUAUCAAGACCCUGUCUCAA
rnacentral:sRNA from 1 species